rnacentral:rRNA from 1 species
UACGAAGGGGGCUAGCGUUGCUCGGAAUCACUGGGCGUAAAGCGCAUGUAGGCGGCUUUUUAAGUCAGGGGUGAAAUCCUGGAGCUCAACUCCAGAACUGCCUUUGAUACUGAGAGCUUGAGUCCGGGAGAGGUGAGUGGAACUGCGAGUGUAGAGGUGAAAUUCGUAGAUAUUCGCAAGAACACCAGUGGCGAAGGCGGCUCACUGGCCCGGUACUGACGCUGAGGUGCGAAAGCGUGGGGAGCAAACAGG